GAUGAAGAACGUAGCGAAAUGCGAUAAGUAAUGUUAAUUGCAGAAUUCAGUGAAUCAUCGAAUCUUUGAACGCACAUUGCGCCCCCUGGUAUUCCGGGGGGCAUGCCUGUUCGAGCGUCAUUACAACCCUCAAGCUCUGCUUGGUAUUGGGCCCCGCCAGUUCUGGCGGGCCCUAAAGUCAGUGGCGGUGCCUUCCGGCUCCGAGCGUAGUAAUUCUUCUCGCUCUGGAGACCCGGUUGUGUGCUUGCCAACAACCCCCAAUUUUUUAAGGUUGACCUCGGAUCAGGUAGGGAUACCCGCUGAACUUAAGCAUAUCAAUAAGCGGAGGA
rnacentral:misc_RNA from 1 species